rnacentral:siRNA from 1 species
UGUGAUGCCCUUAGAUGUUC